UUGGAGGGCAAGUCUGGUGCCAGCAGCCGCGGUAAUUCCAGCUCCAAUAGCGUAUAUUAAAGUUGCUGCAGUUAAAAAGCUCGUAGUUGAAUUUCGGGACCAAUAUGUCGGUCGUGCUUCUGUACGUACUGGCAUAAUUGGUUUCUCCCUUCUGAAGAACCUUGAUGUCAUUAAUUUGGUGUUGCGGGGAAUUUGAACUGUUACUUUGAAAAAAUUAGAGUGUUUAAAGCAGGCUCGCGCUUGAAUACAUUAGCAUGGAAUAAUGAAAUAGGACGUUUGAUUCUAUUUUGUUGGUUUCUAGGAUCGACGUAAUGAUUAAUAGGGAUAGUUGGGGGCAUUAGUAUUCAAUUGUCAGAGGUGAAAUUCUUGGAUUUAUUGAAGACUAACUACUGCGAAAGCAUUUGCCAAGGAUGUUUUCAUUAAUCAAGAACGAAAGUUAGGGGAUCGAAGACGAUCAGAUACCGUCGUAGUCUUAACCAUAAACUAUGCCGACUAGGGAUCGGAUGAUGUUAAUUUUUUAAUGACUCAUUCGGCGCCUUACGGGAAAC
rnacentral:rRNA from 1 species